GUUUGAUCAUGGCUCAGAUUGAACGCUGGCGGCAGGCUUAACACAUGCAAGUCGAGCGGGGGAAGGUAGCUUGCUACUGGACCUAGCGGCGGACGGGUGAGUAAUGCUUAGGAAUCUGCCUAUUAGUGGGGGACAACAUCUCGAAAGGGAUGCUAAUACCGCAUACGUCCUACGGGAGAAAGCAGGGGAUCUUCGGACCUUGCGCUAAUAGAUGAGCCUAAGUCGGAUUAGCUAGUUGGUGGGGUAAAGGCCUACCAAGGCGACGAUCUGUAGCGGGUCUGAGAGGAUGAUCCGCCACACUGGGACUGAGACACGGCCCAGACUCCUACGGGAGGCAGCAGUGGGGAAUAUUGGACAAUGGGGGGAACCCUGAUCCAGCCAUGCCGCGUGUGUGAAGAAGGCCUUAUGGUUGUAAAGCACUUUAAGCGAGGAGGAGGCUACUUUAGUUAAUACCUAGAGAUAGUGGACGUUACUCGCAGAAUAAGCACCGGCUAACUCUGUGCCAGCAGCCGCGGUAAUACAGAGGGUGCGAGCGUUAAUCGGAUUUACUGGGCGUAAAGCGUGCGUAGGCGGCUUAUUAAGUCGGAUGUGAAAUCCCCGAGCUUAACUUGGGAAUUGCAUUCGAUACUGGUGAGCUAGAGUAUGGGAGAGGAUGGUAGAAUUCCAGGUGUAGCGGUGAAAUGCGUAGAGAUCUGGAGGAAUACCGAUGGCGAAGGCAGCCAUCUGGCCUAAUACUGACGCUGAGGUACGAAAGCAUGGGGAGCAAACAGGAUUAGAUACCCUGGUAGUCCAUGCCGUAAACGAUGUCUACUAGCCGUUGGGGCCUUUGAGGCUUUAGUGGCGCAGCUAACGCGAUAAGUAGACCGCCUGGGGAGUACGGUCGCAAGACUAAAACUCAAAUGAAUUGACGGGGGCCCGCACAAGCGGUGGAGCAUGUGGUUUAAUUCGAUGCAACGCGAAGAACCUUACCUGGCCUUGACAUACUAGAAACUUUCCAGAGAUGGAUUGGUGCCUUCGGGAAUCUAGAUACAGGUGCUGCAUGGCUGUCGUCAGCUCGUGUCGUGAGAUGUUGGGUUAAGUCCCGCAACGAGCGCAACCCUUUUCCUUACUUGCCAGCAUUUCGGAUGGGAACUUUAAGGAUACUGCCAGUGACAAACUGGAGGAAGGCGGGGACGACGUCAAGUCAUCAUGGCCCUUACGGCCAGGGCUACACACGUGCUACAAUGGUCGGUACAAAGGGUUGCUACACAGCGAUGUGAUGCUAAUCUCAAAA
rnacentral:rRNA from 1 species